rnacentral:rRNA from 1 species
UACGUAGGGUGCAAGCGUUGUCCGGAAUUAUUGGGCGUAAAGAGCUCGUAGGCGGCUUGUCGCGUCGUUCGUGAAAACCUGCAGCUCAACUGCAGGCUUGCGGUCGAUACGGGCAGGCUGGAGUUCGGUAGGGGAGGACUGGAAUUCCUGGUGUGAGCGGUGAAAUGACGCAGAUAUCAGGAGGAACACCGGUGGCGAAGGCGGGUCUCUGGGCCGAUACUGACGCUGAGGAGCGAAAGCGUGGGGAGCGAACAGG